AUUAACGCUAGCGGCAGGCAUAAUACAUGCAAGUUGAACGGCAGCACAGGUAGCAAUACUGGGUGGCGAGUGGCGCACGGGUGCGUAACACGUAUGCAACCUACCCUAUACAGGCGAAUAACCUUUAGAAAUGAGGGCUAAUACGCCGUAGUAUUACAGAUGGGCAUCUAUUUGUAAUUAAAGAUUUAUCGGUAUAGGAUGGGCAUGCGUCCCAUUAGUUAGUUGGUAAGGUAACGGCUUACAAGACGAUGAUGGGUAGGGG
rnacentral:rRNA from 1 species